rnacentral:rRNA from 1 species
UUCGUUUCUCCUCUUAUGCAUUUUCUCCUUCUUAUCUCUCAGCUAAACUAUCCCGUGAGCUGUUCCGGCCACCGCCGCCGAUUCAUGGCCACGCGCGCACCUUCCUCCCUCUGGCUCAGAUGCCAUGGCGUAGUUCAUCCCAAGGCGCGUACCGCCUGGCAUCAGACUGCCCAAAGACCAAGCACUGUUUCCAGGCGCCCCUGGUGAGUGGAGUUGAUGUGAGUGGCUCGCCGGCGUCGCGGGCGAGUGGAGUUGAUGUGAGGGGCUCGCCGGCGUCGUGGGCGAGGGCUACCAGCAGCCACCGUGUACGCCGUGUCUCAGACGACCCCAGCCACUGCAGCGCGUGCUGGAACCACGCAUCAUUUUUGCUGGAACCAGCACCGCAGGGAGCUGCAACCGACCGCACCGCAGCUCCGGCGCUCGCGGGUUCCAGCUUAGCCCUUGCCGGAUGCAGCUUGGCCCCCUGCCGGUUGCAGCUCCUCCACAAGCCGGUUCUAACUCUGGAUCGAGCGCUGCUAUGUGCUAGAGAGUUGUGAUGUGAUGGGCAGCUAGCGGUGCUGGAACCGGUGUCUAUCGGUGCUGGAAACGGUGCAUAUGAAAGCUGGAACUAGCAUCUUUUUUUGCUACUACUAUCUUGGUUUUGCUGACCAACUGAAUUUUGCUACCACCUCCUUCAUUGUUUGCUGGAACCAACAAUCUUUUUGUUACCACUAUCUUUUGUUUUUGUUGGAACCAGACCUAAUUUUGCUUCCACCGCCAUCGACUUUUGCUGGAACCUGUUCCAGCAAUCCGUUCUUUGCUACCAUCAGCUUUGUCUGAAAGCGACACCACCAUCGCCAUUGAUGCUGCGAUGGCAGUGGGCAGCAUCAGCGAGGGACGAUGUUGCGGUCAGCGCCGCAGAGCUACCAUGGAUGCAACAUAGAGGCAAGAGAAAAAACGGCUACGGUCAACGGCCUUUUUAUUGCGAGCGACGACAGCGAGCAUCGGCGGUGAGCGUCUGCGGCGAGGCAAAUGGGCAAGGUUCGGCGAGCACGGGUCGCCGGCGGUCCAGGAUGAGCGGGGCGCCAGUCUUUUUCCCCUUUCUUUUUUCUCCUCUGCUUUCUUUGCUGCAUCGUUUCUUGGAAGCUUGACAAAGGAAUCGAACGGUUUUAAAAAGCUAGAUCGUGCGGCCCACGUGGGACCGGCCGAAAAUUUUGACCGGCGCGGGCGCCUAUUAGUGGCCUAUUUUUUUGAGGUAUUUAGUGUCCUAAUUAGUACUACAUAUUUUAUGAUUUUUUG